rnacentral:rRNA from 1 species
AUUGAACGCUGGCGGCAUGCUUUACACAUGCAAGUCGAACGGUAACAGGCCGCAAGGUGCUGACGAGUGGCGAACGGGUGAGUAAUGCAUCGGAACGUGCCCAGGCGUGGGGGAUAACGCAGCGAAAGCUGUGCUAAUACCGCAUACGAUCUAUGGAUGAAAGCGGGGGACCGUAAGGCCUCGCGCGAUUGGAGCGGCCGAUGUCAGAUUAGGUAGUUGGGGGGGUAAAGGCCUACCAAGCCGACGAUCUGUAGCUGGUCUGAGAGGACGACCAGCCACACUGGGCCUGGGACGCGGCCCAGAGUCCGACGGGGGGCAGCAUUGGGGAAUAUUGGACAAUGGGCGCAAGCCUGAUCCAGCAAUGCCGCGUGCAGGAAGAAGGCCUUCGGGUUGUAAACUGCUUUUGUACGGAACGAAACGGCCUGGGUUAAUACCCUGGGCUAAUGACGGUACCGUAAGAAUAAGCACCGGCUAACUACGUGCCAGCCGCCGCGGUAAUAC